AGAGUUUAAGGGCUGACAUCUUUGAUCAAGUGGCCAUGAUGAGGCCUAACACAUAUGCUGAAGCCCUUGAACAUGCCUAGUUGGCCAAGGAACUUCUUGCUGCCCGUUACUAGCAUAUUCAUAAUGGCAGGGUACAACACCAACAGAAGAGGAAGCAGAUAGACUAAGGUCGUGUUGACAAGUGACCUAGAAUGGUUCUUGUUGUAGUUGCUACGCCACC
rnacentral:lncRNA from 1 species